UAGUCCAUGCCGUAAACGUUGGGCACUAGGUGUGGGGUCUAUUCAACGGAUUCCGUGCCGCAGCUAACGCAUUAAGUGCCCCGCCUGGGGAGUACGGCCGCAAGGUUAAAACUCAAAGGAAUUGACGGGGCCCCGCACAAGCGGUGGAGCAUGUGGUUUAAUUCGAUGCAACGCGAAGAACCUUACCCAGGUUUGACAUGUACCUGAUUGCUGUGGAAACACAGUUUCUCUUCGGAGCGGGUAUGCAGGUGCUGCAUGGCUGUCGUCAGCUCGUGUCGUGAGAUGUUGGGUUAAGUCCCGCAACGAGCGCAACCCUUGUCCCUAGUUGCUAACAAGUAAAGUUGAGCACUCUAUGGAGACUGCCGUCGACAAGACGGAGGAAGGUGGGGAUGACGCCAAGUCCUCAUGGGUCCUUACGCCUGGGGGCUACACACGUGCUACAAUGGGGCAAUACAAAGGGUCGCAAUGCCGCGAGGGUGGGAGCCAAUCCCAAAAAGUUGU
rnacentral:rRNA from 1 species